UAGGGAAUCUUCCGCAAUGGACGAAAGUCCGACGGAGCAACGCCGCGUGAGUGAAGAAGGAUUUCGGUUCGUAAAACUCUGUUGUUAGGGAAGAAAAAAUGUAUAGUAACUAUAUACAAAAGAGACGGUACUUAACCAGAAAGGGACGGCUAAUUACGUGCCAGCAGCCGCGGUAAUACGUAAGGUCCGAGCGUUGUCCGGAAUCAUUGGGAGUAAAGGGUACGUAGGCGGAUAAGCAAGUUAGAAGUGAAAUCCUAUAGCUCAACUAUAGUAAGCUUUUAAAACUGCUCAUCUUGGGGUAUGGAAGGGAAGGUGGAAUUCCAGGGGUAGCGGUGAAAUGCGCAGAAAUUAGGAAGAAUACCGGUGGCGAAGGCGACUUUCUGGCCGUAUACUGACGCUGAGGUACGAAAGCGUGGGUAGCAAACAGG
rnacentral:rRNA from 1 species